rnacentral:rRNA from 1 species
CCUACGGGAGGCAGCAGUAGGGAAUCUUCCGCAAUGGGCGAAAGCCUGACGGAGCAACGCCGCGUGAGUGAUGAAGGCCUUCGGGUUGUAAAACUCUGUCUUCUGUGAAGAACCAUCCUGUGCAGAGAAAGCUCAGGACCUGACGGUAACAGAGGAGGAAGCCCCGGCUAACUACGUGCCAGCAGCCGCGGUAAUACGUAGGGGGCAAGCGUUGUCCGGAAUCACUGGGCGUAAAGCGCGCGCAGGCGGUCUUUCACGUCCGGGGUGAAAGCCCAGAGCUCAACUCUGGGAUUGCCUUGGAUACGGGGAGACUUGAGGAUCGGAGAGGCAAGGGGAAUUCCACGUGUAGCGGUGAAAUGCGUAGAGAUGUGGAGGAACACCUGUGGCGAAGGCGCCUUGCUGGCCGAUUUCUGACGCUGAGGCGCGAAAGCGUGGGGAGCGAAACAGGAUUAGAUACCCUGGUAGUCCACGCCGUAAACGAUGAGUGCUAGGUGUUAGGGGCCCACCCGUUAGUGCCGAGCGUAACGCAUUAAGCACUCCGCCUGGGGAGUACGGUCGCAGACUGAACUCGAAGGAAUUGACGG